GCCGCUGGUGUCAAUGUCUGUGACAGCUGCAGAAACGAUAAGUAUUUCAAGAGUGCAUCAGUUAUAAGGGCAGGACAAGGAUCUUACAAUUUGGACCCCCUUCUUGUCAGCAUGGGUGAUAUACACAAAAAAGGUGGACAGCAUGACAGAAAUCAAUGGUGCAAUUGCAGUAGGGUCCCCAGCAAGAGAGAAACUACAGCUACUGGUCCAAUGGCUAUAUCUCUUGAACUGCCCAUGAAGGCAUAGAUCAAAGGGGGAACAAAGCUGGAGUCUGGUAGACACUUUCAACUUGUCAGAGCUUGCAUUCUAAAUUCUAUUAUUAAGUUAUUCAGGUUAGAUACUUACACAGUCCAUAUUGAGGAUCUAAAUUUGCAAGCUUUGAGUAUCCAAUAUCCUGUUGUACAAGUAAACAAUUUGUUAUGAUCCAUUAAGUGUUGCAGUAUAAAGUUGGCUUUUCAUCUCACAAAUCACCAUGGUGGUACCUGAGGAAUGCAGAGACUUGCAAUGGUGAGCCCAGCAAUCAAAUCUCCUUUAAACUUAGCAAGAUUAUAACUUCUACCCCAUUCAAGAAUAGGGAAGAUGGCCUGCACACCAAGUAUGAACUGCCGAGACUUUGGCUGAUCUUUAAAUGGUCGUAAAGGAUCAUCUG